UACGUAGGGGUCGAGCGUUGUCCGGAGUUACUGGGCGUAAAGCGCAUGCAGGCGGCUCAUUACGCAUGGCGUGAAAGCCCCCGGCUCAACCGGGGAGGGUCGUCGUGAACGGGUGAGCUUGAGGGUAUCAGGGGCUGGUGGAAUUCCCGGUGUAGUGGUGAAAUGCGUAGAGAUCGGGAGGAACACCUGUGGCGAAGGCGGCCAGCUGGGAUACACCUGACGCUGAGAUGCGAAGGCGUGGGGAGCGAACGGGAUUAGAUACCCGGGUAGUCCCU
rnacentral:rRNA from 1 species